GGUUCUCUCUUACAGAGAAGAUUAACAAGGUCCCUGCACAAUGACACACAAAUUCAUGAAGUGUUCCAUAUUUAA
rnacentral:snRNA from 1 species